rnacentral:rRNA from 1 species
CCUACGGGUGGCUGCAGUGGGGAAUAUUGGACAAUGGGCGAAAGCCUGAUCCAGCCAUACCGCGUGUGUGAAGAAGGCCUUCGGGUUGUAAAGCACUUUCAGUGGGGAAGAAAGCCUUGGGGCUAAUACCCUCGAGGAAGGACAUCACCCACAGAAGAAGCACCGGCUAACUCCGUGCCAGCAGCCGCGGUAAUACGGAGGGUGCGAGCGUUAAUCGGAAUUACUGGGCGUAAAGCGCGCGUAGGCGGUCUGAUAAGCCGGUUGUGAAAGCCCCGGGCUCAACCUGGGAACGGCAUCCGGAACUGUCAGGCUAGAGUGCAGGAGAGGAAGGUAGAAUUCCCGGUGUAGCGGUGAAAUGCGUAGAGAUCGGGAGGAAUACCAGUGGCGAAGGCGGCCUUCUGGACUGACACUGACGCUGAGGUGCGAAAGCGUGGGUAGCAAACAGGAUUAGAUACCCCGGUAGUC